rnacentral:snRNA from 1 species
GCGCUUUGGCAGCACAUAUGCUAAAAUUGGAACAAUGCAGAGGAGAUUAACAUGGCCCCUGUGCAGGGAUGACACACAAAUUCAUGAAGCGUUCCAUGUUUUU